rnacentral:rRNA from 1 species
UACGAAGGGGGCUAGCGUUGCUCGGAAUGACUGGGCGUAAAGGGCGCGUAGGCGGAUGGCACAGUCAGAUGUGAAAUUCCUGGGCUUAACCCGGGGGCUGCAUUUGAUACGUGUGAUCUGGAGUGAGGAAGAGGGUUGUGGAAUUCCCAGUGUAGAGGUGAAAUUCGUAGAUAUUGGGAAGAACACCGGUGGCGAAGGCGGCGACCUGGUCCUUAACUGACGCUGAGGCGCGAAAGCGUGGGGAGCAAACAGG